UAGUGUCACAGCUCUUUUAGAAUUUGUCUAGCAGGUUUUCUGGUCCUUACCAGAAGACUCCA
rnacentral:snRNA from 1 species